GUUAGAUUGAAAUAAUUAGUAAUGAAAAAGGGACAGUAGUGGUAUUCCUUGACCGUGUGAUACUCCAUCCCAACCCACCUACCAAGACAUGGUGACUGAUGUAGAAGAGGGGAUUCGCAGACAAAAACAGCAAUACAACAUCUACGCUCUACUCCAUCUCCAUCCCUAUAGGAUGUGCCAGCAGACUAAACAGGAGAUCGCUGACAUCCAUCAAGACAGACUUCUCCAUGACAUGGAACUAAACAGGACCAACCUCUUUAUGCCAGCGAACCAAUAGGGAACUAUUGGAAAGAGUCAGCAGAGGUGAAGAACACAGAGACCAACCCCUCUGAAUUUCCAGACAACAGAAAGACAGCUGAACAGUGAUUACGAGACAUUGGACUGUCUCUCUCUAGAGAAAAUUAUGUCAGUUUAUUGUGCUAGAUCACUUCUAUUUUUUUUACAGUAGAUUUAAUUCUAUUAAAUUCUAUUAAAUCUAUUACAUUUGUUAUAGUAGUUUUUAAGUCAUUCUUUUAUAUGUUUUGCAGUAGUUUUUCUAUUAUUUCCCGC
ensembl:lncRNA